rnacentral:rRNA from 1 species
ACGGCUCAGUAACACGUGGACAACCUACCCUUGGGUCCGGCAUAAUCCUGGGAAACUGGGGAUAAUUCCGGAUAGGUCACAGAUGCUGGAAUGCACUGUGGCUCAAAGCUCCGGCGCCCAAGGAUGGGUCUGCGGCCUAUCAGGGUUGUAGUGGGUGUAAUGUACCUACUAGCCUACGACGGGUACGGGUUGUGAGAGCAAGAGCCCGGAGAUGGAUUCUGAGACACGAAUCCAGGCCCUACGGGGUGCAGCAGGCGCGAAAACUUUACAAUGCGGGAAACCGUGAUAAGGGAAUCUCGAGUGCCAGCAUAUAAUGUUGGCUGUCCAGAUGCCUAAAAAGCAUCUGUUAGCAAGGGCCGGGCAAGACCGGUGCCAGCCGCCGCGGUAACACCGGCGGCCCGAGUGGUAACCGCUAUUAUUGGGUCUAAAGGGUCUGUAGCCGGCCAGGUAAGUCCCUUGGGAAAUCUGGCAGCUCAACUGUCAGGCUGCUAGGGGAUACUGUUUGGCUUGGGACCGGGAGAGGUGAGAGGUACCUUGGGGGUAGGGGUGAAAUCUUGUGAUCCUCGGGGGACCACCAGUGGCGAAGGCGUCUCACCAGAACGGGUCCGACGGUAAGGGACGAAAGCUAGGGGCACGAACCGGAUUAGAUACCCGGGUAGUCCUAGCCGUAAACGAUGCUCGCUAGGUGUCAGUCACGGUGCGACCGUGAUUGGUGCCGUAGGGAAGCCGUGAAGCGAGCCACCUGGGAAGUAUGGCCGCAAGGCUGAAACUUAAAGGAAUUGGCGGGGGAGCACUACAACGGGUGGAGCCUGCGGUUUAAUUGGAGUCAACGCCGGA